AUUGAACGCUGGCGGCAGGCUUAACACAUGCAAGUCGAGCGGAUGAAGGGAGCUUGCUCCUGGAUCCAGCGGCGGACGGGUGAGUAAUGCCUAGGAAUCUGCCUGGUAGUGGGGGAUAACGUCCGGAAACGGGCGCUAAUACCGCAUACGUCCUGAGGGAGAAAGUGGGGGAUCUUCGGACCUCACGCUAUCAGAUGAGCCUAGGUCGGAUUAGCUAGUUGGUGGGGUAAAGGCCUACCAAGGCGACGAUCCGUAACUGGUCUGAGAGGAUGAUCAGUCACACUGGAACUGAGACACGGUCCAGACUCCUACGGGAGGCAGCAGUGGGGAAUAUUGGACAAUGGGCGAAAGCCUGAUCCAGCCAUGCCGCGUGUGUGAAGAAGGUCUUCGGAUUGUAAAGCACUUUAAGUUGGGAGGAAGGGCAGUAAGUUAAUACCUUGCUGUUUUGACGUUACCAACAGAAUAAGCACCGGCUAACUUCGUG
rnacentral:rRNA from 1 species